CGCGGGGUGGAGCAGCCCGGUAGCUCGUCAGGCUCAUAACCUGAAGGUCACAGGUUCAAAUCCUGUCACCGCAACCA
rnacentral:tRNA from 1 species